CAGAGGGGGCUAGCGUUGUUCGGAAUUACUGGGCGUAAAGGGCGCGUAGGUGGCCUGUUAAGUCGAACGUGAAAUCCCCGGGCUCAACCCGGGAACUGCGUCCGAGACUGGCAGGCUCGAAUCCGGGAGAGGGAUGUGGAAUUCCAGGUGUAGCGGUGAAAUGCGUAGAUAUCUGGAGGAACACCGGUGGCGAAGGCGGCAUCCUGGACCGGUAUUGACGCUGAGGCGCGAAAGCCAGGGGAGCAAACGGGAUUAGAUACCCCGGUACGUCCUGGCCCUAGACGAUGAAUGCUUGGUGUGGCGGGUAUCGAUCCCUGCCGUGCCGAAGCUAACGCAUUAAGCAUUCCGCCUGGGGAGUACGGUCGCAAGGCUG
rnacentral:rRNA from 1 species